rnacentral:rRNA from 1 species
GUGCCAGCCGCCGCGGUAAUACGGAGGGUGCAAGCGUUGUCCGGAUUUAUUGGGUUUAAAGGGUGCGUAGGCGGCUGAAUAAGUCAGCGGUGAAAGACUUCGGCUUAACCGGAGCAGUGCCGUUGAUACUGUUUAGCUUGAGUGUUGGAGGGGUACAUGGAAUUGAUGGUGUAGCGGUGAAAUGCAUAGAUACCAUCAGGAACACCGAUAGCGAAGGCAUUGUACUGGCCAACAACUGACGCUGAGGCACGAAAGUGUGGGGAUCGAACAGGAUUAGAUACCCUGGUAGUCCACACCGUAAACGAUGAUUACUCGCUGUUAUGGUGUAUGCUGUAGCGGCCAAGCGAAAGCGUUAAGUAAUCCACCUGGGGAGUACGCCGGCAACGGUGAA